CUAGUCAAAAAUGACAAAUAAAAACUGAAUAUACCUUACAAAAAAUAUUUCUAAAACAUAUUUUAUAACCGUCGUCUUCCUUGGCAAAUGCAAAUAUCAACGACUAUUUUAUGUUUUAUUUUUAGACAAUUACAGUAUUUUGUCCCUGCGCUUGAGGUUGUUUUUAUUGUGCAUGUAGUUGAUUUUUGGGGGGGCAUUUAUGCUAAAAAUGACAUAAAUGUGCUGUUUUUCUAUUUGAAAAAUAGAUUUGCUUGGUUUGACUUGAAAAAAAUGUGGCUUCCAGGAUGAUGCCACGAAAACUAUCUUGCUGGGGUAAAACAAAAAAAAGAAGCUUUAAAUUGCUUUAAUACGGCAUUUGAAGAGCAAGCACGUGACGGAGUAUGGCCAAUUUCCGACGAGCUUUGUCCACAUGGCUGCGUACACUUGCUCGUAUGCGUGUGACAGUCAGAAGGCUAAGCUAAUAACCCGAAAAAGAAUUGAAUUCAUCAGACGAAAUGACCUGCCUUUCUCAGCAGCGGAGGACACAGGGUUCGCCGAGGGUUCUAUCGUUCUGCUAGAACUUAUACUCUUACAUCCAAAGUCUCCUUAAAGAAGGCGUCUCAUCCUGUGGAAGUUUCCCGAGUGAUAUAUAUAUGUGUUCUCUUGAAAAACCAGUAGCAGCGGUGCGGCCUGGACUUCUGGGUGUCAUGAAAAAAAAAAAACACGUAGCCCACCCCCACGCCCCUUUAUUAAUUAUUUACAAAUAUCGGUAUCGACAAAUAUUUUGGAUGCCAUCGGAUGUGCAGGUGUACCUAUUGAAUUGUCCGAACAACGCGUGUAGGUCGAGGAUACGGGAUGAGAACUGGUUGUCUGGCCCAUAAAUGUGCUAUAAUCCUCGAGGCGUUGCCACUCAGUCCACCUGACAGCAGCUCUGCUUUACAUCCACAAACCUCCUCGGCCAGGAGCGCCAUGUUGCAAGCUAACAAACCUCGGCUGCGUGCAGUCCGAACAACAGCGUCCAUGUCAACAACGGUGUGCUGAAGGAGGUGAGCAGCCAUCCACAAAGCCACCAAGCCGCACCUUAAAGGUAGAGCACGGCUGCACGUGUAUUCAGAACUUACUGUGGACCAUCUUGGACGAGGGAAGGCACUCUGUUGAGCAUGGCGGUGCAGGUGGAGGUGGCACAGGAGGACGAGGUGGAAGAGGGGGCAUGGAGCACCCGGACAUUUUUCCAGAGAUUGUGACAAAGGCUGACGUUGGACUAAAAUCAACAGUGCAAUCUUGAUUGCUCUGCAACAGAUCUUUCCAACAUACGAAUAUACAAAAUCUACAAGUAAUCGCCCUCUUCUUUUUCUGGAACGAAUUCCACAGCUAACUACACGUUAAAUGAGUUGAAAUGCAUGCUUUGUAAUUGUAUAGCAAACUAACACAAUGUGCUUGUUGAGUAAAAGUUGUUGUUAGAAUCUAUACCCCUUUUCAGACUAGCAUAGCGCCCAGUGUUUCUGACCAUAUUUGGAAACUCUCUUCUUCGUGGGUUUUGGGGGUUUCGGUAACCAACUCACAUUUUGUCGCCCCCAUUUGUACGGAGGAAAUGUGUGCUUUUUAUUAAAUAAUUUCUGUGUUU